rnacentral:rRNA from 1 species
CCUACGGGAGGCAGCAGUGAGGAAUAUUGGUCAAUGGGCGCGAGCCUGAACCAGCCAAGUAGCGUGAAGGAUGACUGCCCUACGGGUUGUAAACUUCUUUUAUAAGGGAAUAAAGUGCGGGACGUGUCCCGUUUUGUAUGUACCUUAUGAAUAAGGAUCGGCUAACUCCGUGCCAGCAGCCGCGGUAAUACGGAGGAUCCGAGCGUUAUCCGGAUUUAUUGGGUUUAAAGGGUGCGUAGGCGGCCUUUUAAGUCAGCGGUGAAAGUCUGUGGCUCAACCAUAGAAUUGCCGUUGAAACUGGGAGGCUUGAGUAUGUUUGAGGCAGGCGGAAUGCGUGGUGUAGCGGUGAAAUGCUGAGAUAUCACGCAGAACCCCGAUUGCGAAGGCAGCCUGCCAAGCCAUGACUGACGCUGAUGCACGAAAGCGUGGGGAUCAAACAGGAUUAGAUACCCCUGUAGUC